AUUGAACGCUGGCGGCAGGCCUAACACAUGCAAGUCGAACGAGUGGCGGACGGGUGAGUAAUAUCUGGGAAACUGCCUGAUGGAGGGGGAUAACUACUGGCAACGGUAGCUAAUACCGCAUACCCUCGGAUGUGCCCAGAUGGGAUUAGCUAGUUGGUGGGGUAACGGCUAACCUAGGCGACGAUCCCUAGCUGGUCUGAGAGGAUGACCAGCCACCCGGGAACUGAGACACGGCCCAGACGCCUACGGGAGGCAGCAGGGGGGAAGAUUGCACAUGGGGCGAAAGCCUGAUGCAGCAAGGCCGCGUGUAGGUAGAAGGCCUUCGGGUUGUAAAGUACUUUCAGCGGGGAGGCGUUACCCGCAGAAGAAGCACCGGCUAACUCCGUGCCAGCCGCCGCGGUAAUUC
rnacentral:rRNA from 1 species